UUGGUUAAGUUAGAAAGGGCGCACGGUGGAUGCCUUGGCACUAGGAGCCGAAGAAGGACGGGACUAACACCGAUAUGCUUUGGGGAGCUGUACGUAAGCGUUGAUCCAGAGAUUUCCGAAUGGGGGAACCCACUAUCUUUAGUCGGAUAGUAUCCUUACGUGAAUACAUAGCGUGAGGAAGGCAGACCCAGGGAACUGAAACAUCUAAGUACCUGGAGGAAGAGAAAGAAAAAUCGAUUUCCUGAGUAGCGGCGAGCGAAACGGAAAGAGCCCAAACCAAGAAGCUUGCUUCUUGGGGUUGUAGGACACUCUAUACGGAGUUACAAAAGAAAGUUAUAAAUGAAGCGGUCUGGAAAGGCCCGCCAAAGACGGUAACAGCCCGGUAGUUGAAAUGGCUUUCCCUCCAGAGUGGAUCCUGAGUACGGCGGAACACGUGAAAUUCCGUCGGAAUCCGGGAGGACCAUCUCCCAAGGCUAAAUACUCCCUAGUGACCGAUAGUGAACCAGUACCGUGAGGGAAAGGUGAAAAGCACCCCGGAAGGGGAGUGAAACAGUUCCUGAAACCGUGUGCCUACAAGUAGUUAGAGCCCGUUAAUGGGUGAUAGCGUGCCUUUUGUAGAAUGAACCGGCGAGUUACGAUUUGUUGCAAGGUUAAGCGGAAAAAGCGGAGCCGUAGCGAAAGCGAGUCUGAAUAGGGCGCAUAAGUAACAGGUCGUAGACCCGAAACCAGGUGAUCUACCCAUGUCCAGGAUGAAGGUAAGGUAAUACUUACUGGAGGUCCGAACCCACGCACGUUGAAAAGUGCGGGGAUGAGGUGUGGGUAGCGGAGAAAUUCCAAUCGAACUUGGAGAUAGCUGGUUCUCUCCGAAAUAGCUUUAGGGCUAGCCUCGAGGUAAAGAGUC
rnacentral:rRNA from 1 species